GAUCUCAGGGCAGGGUGAAAUUCCCGACCGGCGGUAAGUGUUGCGGUCCAGUUCAGGACCGGAAGACAGAGCCCGCGAGCGCCAGGCCAGGUGUCCCGUUGUUGCGGGGCGGCGUCCGGGGUCAGCAGACCCGGUGUAAUUCCGGGGCCGACGGUACAGUCCGGAUGGAAGAGA
rnacentral:ncRNA from 1 species